GACGAAACGCUGGCGGCGUGCCUAACACAUGCAAGUCGAACGGGGUUAAUUCCUUCGGGGAUUAACUUAGUGGCGAACGGGUGAGUAACGCGUGAGAAACCUGCCUUUCAGUGGGGGACAACAGUUGGAAACGACUGCUAAUACCGCAUAACGUUAUUUAGGGGCAUCCCUGAAUAACCAAAGCUUUAUGUGCUGAGAGAUGGUCUCGCGUCUGAUUAGCUAGGUGGCGGGGUAACGGCCCACCUAGCCUUCGAUCAUUAGGGGUUCUGAGAGGAAGGUCCCCCACACUGGAACUGAGACACGGUCCAGACUCCUACGGGAGGCAGCAGUGAGGAAUAUUGGUCAAUGGGCGAGAGCCUGAACCAGCCAAGUAGCGUGAAGGAAGACUGCCCUAUGGGUUGUAAACUUCUUUUGUUCGGGAAUAAAGUGCAGUACGCGUACUGUUUUGUAUGUACCGUUCGAAUAAGCAUCGGCUAAUUCCGUG
rnacentral:rRNA from 1 species